AAAUUGAAGAGUUUGAUCAUGGCUCAGAUUGAACGCUGGCGGCAGGCCUAACACAUGCAAGUCGAGCGGCAGCGGGAAAGUAGCUUGCUACUUUUGCCGGCGAGCGGCGGACGGGUGAGUAAGGCUUGGGUAUCUGCCCAGUCGAGGGGGAUAACCGUUGGAAACGACGGCUAAUACCGCAUACGCCCUACGGGGGAAAGCAGGGGACCUUCGGGCCUUGCGCGAUUGGAUGGGCCCAAGUGAGAUUAGCUAGUUGGUGAGGUAAUGGCUCACCAAGGCGACGAUCUCUAGCUGGUCUGAGAGGAUGACCAGCCACACUGGGACUGAGACACGGCCCAGAC
rnacentral:rRNA from 1 species